rnacentral:tRNA from 1 species
AGGAUUAUAUUUAAUUAUAAUAUUUAAUUUGCAGUUAAAAGGUGUUUUUUUUUGAAACUAAUCUUU